rnacentral:rRNA from 1 species
UUCCGAACCAGGAAGUUAAGCCUCACAGCGGUGAUGAUACUGCAUCCUUACGGAUGUGGGAAAGUAGCUCCCCGCUACAC